rnacentral:tRNA from 1 species
GCAUCCAUGGUUGAAUGGUUAAAGCACCCAGCUCAUAAGUGGUAGAUUUGUGGAUUCAAUUCCUGCUAGAUGCA